UUGCUGUGGGUCUCUAAUAGGACAAAGAAAAACGGACGCAACUUUAAACACAUGGUUUGACAUUCUAUAAACAAGGGCAAGAAGUAAUAAUUAUAACCCCACACAUGCUCAACUGGUUUAAGUUCUGUAGAACUUAAUCAAGUCAGCAUUUUGAACCCUUUGUCAUGUUCUUCAAAACAUUUGUUGGCAGACUCUGCAGUCCCAGAGGGAGCAUUAGCCUGCUGAAAGUGGCCGCUGCCAUCAGGAAAUACUGCUGCCUCAAAAGGGUGUACAUGGUCUGCAACAAUAUUUAGGAGCGAUAUCUGUCAAAAUAACAUCAACACAUGGAUAUAGGACCCAAGGUUUCCCACCAGAACAUUAUCCAGAGCAUCAUACUGCCUGUGCCACUUUGCCGUCUUACCAAACUGCAUCCUGCUCCCAUCUCUUUCCCAGGUGCUGUAUGAAGCCAUAACUUACCACUGCAGAUAGAUGUGGCAGAUCAGAAACCAAGUCCCAGCGCUGCUUUUCCAGGUAUGGCAGAGCAGACUUCAGUGUGAACGCCCACAGGCUCUCCACGGCAGGCAGCGGCUGUAUGUUCCACCAGGCUGCUGGAGGAAGCGCUGACCUGUAAACCAGGUAUCACACACAGUGGGUUCCACACAACCACCACUGUUCUGCCUCCUCUUUAUAAUCCUUAUCCUGCAUGGUGCUGAAUGCAGCAUGGUGUAUUUCAAAUGUGGUGCAUAUUAAUAGACGACACAAAGUAUAUCUAGAAAUUCUAAACGUAUUUAUUGUUUUCUUUCCUUUCUAAAGUUAGGUAUGAAUUUUUAAUUUGUCAAUCAAAUAAUUUUUGUGGCUGAUCUUAGAUCUGGUGCACAGUUGUGUAAAUAAAAGAGAAAGAGAAAAUAGAGAUUGUAGCCUGUGCAGUAACAGAAAAGUCUCCAAUCAGCUUUGAUUUUUUUUUAAACAAUGGUGACUUUUAAUCAACUGUAUGUAAUUCUUUGACAUACAGUUGCUCUCAGAUCACUGUAUCUGGAUUCUUCUUGUAGAUUCUGCCAAAUGCUGUGCAAAUUAAUGUAUGCCUUUUUACUUUGUUUGGUGUUGUCCAUUUAAUAGGAAAUUCUCAAGAGGUUUUUUUCCCACCAUGACUUAAUCAUGAACUAAGUUCUGUCCUUAUUAUGUACUCCUGCAGAAUGUAAUACAACAACCCAGCCAUAGACUUUAUCUUUGUCUUGCUCAUAAUGUUCCAUUUUAACUGACACUGCGUCAGAGAGAACAUGCUAAAUUCAGUUAGUAGGGUUAAUCUUUUCUUUGCCUUGUUGCAUUCUUUCCUUGAUUAGGAUUCAGCAGCUCCGCAGGGCAGAUGCAGUUCACAGAAUCAGUUGUGUCAGCCAUGCCACGAGUGUAAAAAUGUCCAGUGAGUUCUGACAUAUUGGUCUGUUGUGUUGCAGGUUCUGUAAUGCAGCUCCAGCUCAGCACGCAUUGUUUAUCAUUUUUGAUUCAUUAAAUUAUCCUUGACCUUUUUGAUGGGCUGGCUACCCCCCCUUUUAUAUUUUUCAUAUUUCAUUACCAUAAGUGCAGCCUGGACCAGCCCUGUCGAAAGGGGACCUUUGGAGUGACGAAAUAAAAAUGAGAAUCAGUUCAGCUGAUAAUCUGACUCAAAAGCAAAGUAUUUCUAUACGCAACUCUUGAUGUUUUUUUCACUUAUUUUAACAGCAGACUUGUUCCUAUGACUGCACUUGCCACCACCAUUUUACAUGUUGCUGUUGUUGUCUGAUAUUUCUUGUACCUACACCAUCUAUGGUUCGUUGGAUUCCUGUCGUACUACAGACCAAAAGGUACCAUCAUGCUGUCAGAAUUUUGGGAUCAACCUGGUAGUGAAGAAACUCUACUAAAGCUGUAUCUACACAGAGAGCAUCUGAGUGGCAUCUAUUUGCUGGUACUUCAUCAAGACAAGAGGCAAUCUUAUUGAUCUCUACACAGGCUUUUUUUUUCUUUUUCUUUUUUUUUUUACAGGUAAUCUGUAUAGGUCACUAAAAACACUGCAUGAAAAAGAAGAAGGUCACAUCUUGAACACACAGAUACUCUUCAGCAGCAUGGAUGACUUCAUUAUCACUCUGAAAAUAGCUAACAUGCAAAUAGGAUUUCAGUUUGGGAAACACAUAGUUUCAGAUGGUGCAUGUCAGGUGAGUACGAUGCAUGGAGCAACACUGCAAAGUUACAUUUCGUCAUUUCUGAAACCUGAUGCACUUUUAAACUGGCUUUUGACUCACUUCUUUUAGUUCUUUCUGUGUCUUUUAUUUGGCUUUAGAUGUUGAUGUAUGAUGCUGUCACUAUUAGGAACUCUGUGGCCAUGUUUAGAAAAGUAUUCUACAGAUUUUUAAAGAUGUUAAUGCUAUUUCAUUUUCUCACCAGGCAAAUGUUUUAUUGAAGCCGGCCGCCACUAACUGGAACUAAGUAUGAAAUGAACUACUAUAGCUUUGAUCCGGCUUCAACAUGACAGUUUUUAUCGAUUCCUGAACCUGAACAGAAGACUCACCCAGCAGGCUUUGCUGUACUGUUACCGGAAAACAGUCUCCCGUGGCCGCUCUUCGGUGUUGACUGCAGCUCAUCGACAGAAGACUUGUCUCGUCUAAGUUUGGUCCUUGGGUAAUUUUCUGCCAUGUCGUUUUAUCGCUUUUCAUGAUUUUUUUUUUCCAAAUUCCGCGCCAGCACGGCGAACGGGGACUUCCUUAUUCCUGAACGUAACGUCAUUUGAUUCUAUCCAAUCAGAAUUGUUUUGGGUCUGUCAUGAAAUAAUUCUAUCCAAUCAAGUUGUUCUAUGACGUUAAUCAGCCAAUCACGUAAACACACCAAACAAAUCGAUUGACAUUAUAACUGAACACAUUCAAAGAUAAGCGGAGAAAAAAUUAACAGUUUGUUGUGAGAACACUACCGUCCAAAAGUUUAGGGACACUUAGAAAUGUCUAUAUUUUUGAAAGAGAAGCAUUUUUUUUUCAGUGAAGAUAACAUUAAAUUAAUCAGAAAUCCAGUCUAGACCAUGCAUAUAUAUAUACAUGGUCUAGACUGGAUUUCUGAUGAUAUAUAAAGCUUUUUUAAUAGUUAUGCGAGACAGUGUGACAUAUAUAACGUAACUGUGCUGACAACUGUGGGUCAGAAUGCACAUUGCAAAAUGCAAAUGGAUGGAGUGGGACAUCCUGGUAGUUUUGAUGUACUGCCUUUGACAAACUGCAUUUGCUUGUUAAGUCUGGCACACCACUCAAUUCCAGAUGCUUUUUUACAGCCCAAAAGCAGAUGAAGAUUGAGGCAGCAUCAAGGGUCCAAAGGAGUCUGAAUCCAGGCAUCUGUGCAAAAACAAUCUACCUGGGAGGCUGAAGUUAUAGAUUAUGAAAGUUCAGUUCAAUUCAGUUUUAUUACUAUAGCGCCAAUUACAAUUCGAAUUGUCUCAAGAUGCUUUACACAACCCAUAUGCCUGAGGUCGUGUAAGGUAAUGAAAUGGUGAUCAUCAGGUUAAAAUUAGAUUUAAACAGCAGCCAUCCAUAUUUAAGGAUAAUUCUGAUUGUUUCAACCUGGUGUAUUUUCCAUUAAAGUGCCUAUUUUUACUUAAUGUGUCAACUUUGUACGCUCCACCACUGUUGCAGAGAUUCAUGGAAAACAAGGAGUUCUACAGAACAGAAAUGGUCAUACUAAAUUGCCAUUUUGCUAAUCUCAUUAGGGUCAGUUUUUACUUGUUAUACCAGUUUUUACUUGUGGCAUACAGAGUGGAACACAAGGAGUCACAAAAAGGCAUUUGGGAACAACCGAAUCUGAACUAUCAUGCACUCCAGUCCAUUAGCAUGUGUGAGGCUGACUUUAGAAACUCAACAGCAAUGUGCAAGAAUAGAUCACCCCAUGGAAAUUAUAGAGACAUUGCGAGUCAUUUCAGUAUUAUAGUCAGCUAUAUUCCACAUUUGAGGAAGUAAACUAAAUGAAAGGCAAAACAUCAUCUGGUGAUUAGCCAAGAAAACUGUAUCUGUUCAUUCUUCUCUCUACAAAAUUAUUGUAUAGCAUGUACAGUACUGUUUGCAUGUUGUAUUGCAAUCACUUCUCUCUCAUUGAUUUUGACUUCAACAAUGAAAUAACAUAAUAAACAGCUUUUUACUGUCCACAAUAGCAUUCGCUUUUAACACAUUCAAAUAUUUUGUCAGUCUUGCACAAGGUUUUCUACUCACUGCACUGUCAAGAAAGUUACAUCAUACAAGUAUGCUAACGGUAAUGACGAUACUUUGUUCUUCUCUGCAAGGACACACAUAAAGUGGAAAGAUGAAGUCAUAUAAUAAUGGUGGGACUUUCUGAGCUUUUUAAGCUUUUGGCCAGAAGAGAGGGACCAACGGAGAGUGGCUACAAUUAUGCAGUGGAAAAAGACAAGGGAAACCUGGAGUGAAUGGGAGAAAAGGAAAGAGAGGAAACAGAAGCGCAUUAUUUACAAGAAUAGAAAACAGCAAUAUGGGAAAACCUACUACUUUGAAAUGAGGUGAGAGUUUUUUGGGGGGGUUUCAUUUUUCAAGUUGGGGUCCGAUAAAAUGAGUAUUGCAGAUGGACUGCUGCUGAACUGCUGACUUUGGCCAGUCAGUUUUUUUCUACCUCAACCACAAGCAGGGAAGACACACAAAAGCAGAGCAGUGGGCCAGGCCUGUGGUACAUAGUGCGACUCUGGGAAAAAGCAACCCGGCGCCUGGAAAGAAACGUUAUGUCACCCAUCCCACAUGAUGCUGUGUUGUGCUCUGCUGUCAUGGUGACAGUAGAGCACGCCUUAGAAGCAGCCGAUAAUUGUGUAAGUUAAAGAAACACACCAAUAAUUUUGGAAGUUCCACUCAGCUUUGUUUGUUGAGUGAUGAAAACCUCAAUAGAACAUGUUUCAGGUGUCCUGAUAGAUUGUAGUCAGUUGAAAGAUUGGCUUUUACUGAGUAGAUUCACUGUAUCCUCUGUGACACAUUAAGCCAUAAUAAACUCUGUCUACUGAUCCCACUUUUUGGCAACAUUUAAAACCUUAUCCAGGUUUAGUACAUCUCGAUUAGUUUGUCUUCUAUUGUGCCAUUUCUAUAGGCUUCUGUUUACCUGGAGAACUCCACCUCAGUGCAGUUUUGGGAGUUAAAUCUGCCUGAGACAUGUGGCCCAAGCAUUGCAGCCACCCGUGUUGUAUUUCAGUGAUGAUGGCUUGAUUUUAAGUUUUCUGCAUAAUUCCACGAAAGUGCUAUAUAAAUACAAACCAUUUAUCAUUUACAGGAAAUCUAAAAUAAUAGCUUUUGUAUCUGCAUUUGCCCGUAUGAGGAUAUAUUAAUAUAUAAAACAUAUCAUAUAACUUAUGUUAUAAAAUCAAAAUGGGGUUUACAAAAUUCAUUUUGGUAACUUAACUAGCAUUAACGCAAUUAAGCAGUUUGAUUUUUUACUUGUUUUGGAGCUCUUGUGAAGCAGCCAACCACAGCACAGCUAAAGCUACAGCCACAAUCACAGCAUCAGCAUUGAUUUUAGCUUAACUUUUGUAUCUUAUUCACUAACAUAGAUGCUGUAGUUGGCUUUCCUUUUUGGAAUGAUUUUAGGAAAGAGGUUCCCUGUCAGCACUUUAACCACACACUGUUAGAACUUGUCCAGUCCAGCCUUGCUGCUGUGAAAAAGGGCCUAAGACUAAAAGAGUUUGAAGGACAUGUAUUUAUGCAUUCUCAGCAUUACAUUUUUUGGGGGGCACGUCAUUGAAGAGAAAUGACCAUUUGAAUAUCUAAAAACUAGGCUUCAACCAAGAAUCUGUCAGAUGAUCUAACAACAAGUGAAACCUUUGGACAGUGAAAACUCAGGUUGGCUUCCAAGAAUUUUUGUAAAAGUCAGACUGCAGUGUGUUCAUUCUGCUUAGAGGUUUGACUGACUGCAGUCUACCAGCUCAACCAAACCUGUACACCCUCAGAACCCUGGGGUGGGCAGGACAGAUUGUGCCAAUGCCUCCCACCCCAUACACAAAGUUUCUGAGACACUCUCCAUUAGGAGACUGUGGUCUAUUACAACCAAACUUCACGCCUCAUCAACUAGGGCUAGGACCCCUGCCUAAAAUGGUUUCCUAUCAUAGCCCCACUGACACUACACAUUACAUUAAUAUACCCACACCUUUGUCAGGGAAUGCACAACACACAGUUUUCCGAACAAUUAUUGUUGCACUGUACACAUUUGUUGUACUUAAUACUGAAAACAUUUACAAAUGCAUGCAUACAUCUCAUGGUUCAUAUGUUACACAUCCUCUCAGAAAAUGGUCAACUCCAUCAUUUUAAAACAGACACAUUUUUAAUAUUCUUGGUGUGUCUUGCGUUGCAGUACUUGCUUUUACUUUAUCUUCAUUGUCAUACUUCAAAAUACAAAAAAUGAUUCGUUGUGUGUACGGACUUACUUUGCAAUAAAGAGAAUUCUGUUUCUGAAUAAAGUCUUUAGACCUCAGUCCUGCUUUUGGUACAGCUGAUCAUCCUGCCCUCUCAAUAUCAAGACCCAGUCUGACAAAGCAUUACCCUUGAAAGAUUUGCCUCCUACCUAACAUCCAUCCAUUAUCUAAACACCGCUUAACCCUAAUAGGGCCAUAGGGAGGCUGGAGUCUAUCCUCGCUGACUUAGGGUGAAGGCAGGGGACACUCUGGACAGGUCACCAGUUUAUCACAGGGUGACACAUAGAGACAAACAAGCACACUCCCAUUCACAUCUACGGGCAAGUUAGAAAAUUCAGUUCAGUUCUUCUUUGACUGCCUCCAGGUUGUGAAAGGUUGAAUGCUAAAAGAGCUGACUGAAACAUGGAUGAUUUGUUUAUUUAAAAAAACAUCACUCAAGUGAAUUAGUUUUGUCUGUUCCAUGGUCAAGGACAGUGAGUAGUGGCACCAUGCCUUUCCAGUAGCUGAGCCAAUGCUUUGGAAUAGACUUCCAUUGUAUUAGGUGUGAUUCCUUUACUGACAUUUAAAUCAAAACUCAAGACUGACAUGUUUUCAAUAGCCUGUGGAUGUCUUUAUUGGCUUGUAGAUUUUAUUUUAGCUAUUUCUUUAAUUAGAUAACUAUUUUACAAUUUGCAUCUGUCUCUAUGUUUUACAUUUAUUUAUACUGGUUGAUAUUGUUUUGUCUCUCAUCAUUGCCUUUCACAGGUCUUUUAUUACUGAUGUCAUUUAAUCUACAACUCUGGUUGUUUUGAUUGUAUCCUGAGAAUAAAUAAAUUUGACAGUUG